CUGUCGGGAGGAGGGACCCGAUCCUUCAGUUCUGCGCCUGGAACACUCUCCUGAUUCCCUUUUAUUGCUGCAGCUGAAAAGCGGAGAAUGUGUAACACCUUCGGUCAUUCCCUCAUCUCUUGGAUUCUCCCAAAUGUUGCUUUGGCUCAAACACAGAAGGAGAAGCACGGAGCAUCCCUGACAGAGCCGGUAUCACAAGUGACCUGAGCAGGCUCCGCUUUAGUCAUCCCCAGACAUGCAAAAUAAACCCCUUCGGGUCACGGU